UGGGGAAUCUUGCGCAAUGGCCGCAAGGCUGACGCAGCGACGCCGCGUGCGGGAGGACGCCCCUCGGGGUGUAAACCGCUGUCGCCCGGGACGAACAGUCCCUUUCGAGGGGCCUGACGGUACCGGGUGAGGAAGCGCCGGCUAACUCCGUGCCAGCAGCCGCGGUAAUACGGAGGGCGCGAGCGUUGUCCGGAAUCACUGGGCGUAAAGGGCGCGUAGGCGGCCGGAGGAGUCGCUGGUGAAAGCCCGGGGCUCAACCCCGGGUCGGCCGGCGAGACUCUCCGGCUGGAGUGCCGUAGGGGCGGGCGGAAUUCCGGGUGUAGCGGUGGAAUGCGUAGAGAUCCGGAAGAACACCGGUGGCGAAGGCGGCCCGCUGGGCGGCGACUGACGCUGAGGCGCGACAGCGUGGGGAGCAAACAG
rnacentral:rRNA from 1 species